CUGGGAGCCUGGAGGCUUGAGCUCUGGAGCUGGGUUUAGGCAGCCGUUUAAUUUCGUGCAUUAACUCACUGAACUGAGGUAUUUGAAAACCUCCUCUCUCCCUAAGACUUUCUUAUUGCCUCCAAGAGGCUCCAUCCUUCAAUAGCACUUAUCCACCCAACAACCGGGCUGGGGGAGCAGUAGUGUCUCUAUGGCAUAAACGAAGAAACUGUGACUCAGAGAGGCUGAGUAAACUCCUUGAUGCUGUACAACUACAUACAGUGAUGAAUGUGAGAUUCAGACUUGGAUUUGUCUGGCUCCAAAAUCUCUGUUCCUUCCAUGACAAUAAAACAAAGGAGAAGAAGAGUGAGAGGUGGUACGUCUAGAUGGCCAGGUGAAAACCGAGCACUGCUGAGAAGCCCCGAGGAAAAGUGCAGCCUCCACACGAAGUUUUAUUAUUGGCUUCUGGGGAAGUGAUGAGGUGGAGACUUGGGCCCAGGAAGCCUAAAUCACUUGUCUGAGGCCUCACAGCAGGAACCGGGACCAGUACCCCGAGUGAUGACUUCAGGCUUAGGUCACCGUUUUACAUCUCACCAUAAUCAGAGGGUGGACUCCCCAUUCUUCACUCAGCAACCAGAGUUGCUGAAAGGCAGGUCCUACUGAUGCUCCGAGAGCUGAAAAUGGGAGAAGGUGAUGAAACGGACCAGAGUACUCCUUGCCAGCGGGACACAGGGCUUUCCAAGUAGGUAACUAUGACAGUGAUCAUGCCAAGGGACAGAACAGGAGGUCCCCUCUGGGUAAACAGGACGUGCUUCUCCUUGUGACCCCUGGCUGACCUCCCAAGGGGAAGAGCCAAAGUAAUCAGCAUCUCUGGCCAGCAAAAUCAGCGUCAGCAACAACUGAGGCUCAGAGAACUCCCUGGCCUGAGGAAGGACCAGAGCAAUGAUGCAGCAGCAUUUCUAGGCAGUGAAUGAUAGUAAUACUACAGAGGCUCAUUGAUUCUCCUUUUGUUCUCCACCGCCCGUCACAUUCU